UACAGAGGUCUCAAGCGUUUGUUCGGAUUCAUUGGGCGUAAAGGGUGCGUAGGCGGCGCGGUAAGUCGGAUGUGAAAUCUCGGAGCUUAACUCCGAAACUGCAUUCGAUACUGCCGUGCUUUGAGGACUGGAGAGGAGACUGGAAUUUACGGUGUAGCGGUGAAAAUGCGUAGAUAUCGUAAGGAAGACCAGUGGCGAAGGCGGGGUCUCUGGACAGUUCCUGACGCUGAGACGCGAAAAGCGUGGGGGAGCGAACAGG
rnacentral:rRNA from 1 species